rnacentral:lncRNA from 1 species
CAAAAAUGUCAAACCCAAUAAACCAAGUUUUUUUUAUUUCUUUCAACUCAAAUGCAUUCUUUUAUGUAUGUAUUAUAAGUUUGUUUUAUUUACAUUUACAUAUUUCUUUUCAAUUAUUUUUGAUUAUUAGAUUUUUGCUUGUGAAGAUAUGAUAAUAAAUGACUUGAAAUUUUGCACCCCCCCUCCACCCCCCUCCUUGUGAAAUUUUACCUUUUAAGUAUGUUUUUUUAAUUAAUAAUUACAGUUUUGUUGAUCCGGGAUAACAAAGAGACAACUUAUUACAUUUUUAAAAAUUAAUUUUGGAUAUUUUGAGUGAUAUCUUGAUUUUCUUUUAAAAAAAUGGUAAAAUGUAGGUUUUGAGAGCCCCCCCUAUAAAAAUUUUCCCCCG